GCGUGAGCCACCGCGCCCAGCCUGGGCAUGCAUAUUUUAUGGAUCUUAACUCGACUUUUAAAUUUUCUUUGAGCAUCUGGGAAUUUUAUGAAAGCACUUUGUUAGUUUCUAUUAGUGUCCCCUAUAUCCAAAAUUCUCAUUAAAGAAUGCCGUUUCCCAUCUCUCAAGAAUUUAUCAAUUCAGGCUGGGCAUGGUGGCUUACGUCUGCAAUCCCAGCACUUUGGGAGGCCAAGGUAGGCUGAUUGUUUAAGGUCAGGAGUUCAAGACCAGCUUGGCCAACAUGGUGAAACCCCGUCUGUACUAAAAAAACAAAAAUUAGCUGGGCAUGGUGGCAGGUGCCUGUAAUCCCGGCUAUGCGGGAGGCUGAGGUAGCAGGAUUGCUUGAGCCCAGGAGGCAGAGGUUGCAGUGAGCCGGGAUCACGACGCCACUGCACUCCAGCGUGGGCGACAGAGUGAGAGUCUUUUUUUUUUUUUUGAGACUCACACUGUGCACAGGAAGAAAAUUAUGUGAAUGUCCUUCCUAACAGGGAGAGGCCUUCCCUGACCUUGCUCCCCUUGGGCUGCCAUCAGCAUGGGGCUUUCUUAGGUAUCAAGGCCACCUCAGUUUGGAGAGAUGCCAGAAGUGGAAGUGUCAGCCAGACCAUGUUUUCAUUCUACUUGUCUAUAUUAGAUCAAAGUCAGAGAGAGAAUCUCAGUUCAUAGAGGGAACACUUUAUAACCUGUGUUUAUGGAGGAGAAUCACAUACCAAGUGGAAUCACCUUGAAGCAAGGCUUGUGUGCCGGGGGCGAUGGCUCGUGCCUGUAAUCCCAGCACUUUGGGA
rnacentral:lncRNA from 1 species